rnacentral:lncRNA from 1 species
GGCCUAUCCCCAUCUAACUUUUCCUAAAAUUCUAAGUUACGUAAAUGUUGAAACUAAAAUGUAACUAAAGCUAAAAAAGUCAAAAAAGGCCUACCUAACUUUUAAAUGCUAACUUAUUACAUUUCACGAUAAUAAUUCUACUCUGUACAGUAUCUUGUCUCCUUUAGUUUUUGUCGUAUUUGCUCCAUUAUUGCUUUGUAUCUGCUCCAUUAUUGCUCUUUAUCUGCUCCAUUAUUGCUCUUUAUCUGCUCCAUUAUUGCUCUUUAUCUGCUCCAUUAUUGCUCUUUAUCUGCUCCAUUAUUGCUCUUUAUCUGCUCCAUUAUUGCUCUUUAUCUGCUCCAUUAUUGCUCUUUAUCUGCUCCAUUAUUGCUCUUUAUCUUUAUCCUUCCAGCUGGCAUUUUAUCUUCUUUAUUCUAAAUGUACCUCUGGAAUAAUAUUAUCUUCUCCAUUGCACCUCGAACAUUGGUGGUCUGGAUAUUUAUGUCCAAUUAUCUUACAGUAUCUCGUUAGUAGUCCGUCUGAAAUAAAUCCCUUUUUUAUUGCUCGUGCGGUAGAUUGUUUUUCUGGGUUGAGUAGUGUCAAUAUCCACUGUCUUACAUCUUCCAUAUCUGCUUGUCUUAGUUCUUUCGAAUUUGAAUAUAUCAUUUGGUG